rnacentral:tRNA from 1 species
GCACAUAAAGCGAGAAAUUUGCAUACGGUUUCGGCCCGUAACUUGACGGUGAAAGUCCUUCUCUGUGUC